CGGGGGCUGGUGUAAUGGUAACAUACACGCUUCGGGUGCGUGGGACUAGCAGUUCAAAUCUGCUGCCCCCGACAA
rnacentral:tRNA from 1 species